rnacentral:lncRNA from 1 species
CCCAGUUUGAGGAACACAGAUCACAGGUCAUCCCUCCCUCCUAUUCAACUCCAAACAUAAGCUACCUGGACAAGUUUAUCCAGGAAGACAAGCCAGAUUCAUUCUUUUGAAGCUUUAGGAGCUGAGAAAUAUCGAGCCUAGACAGGGUUUCUCUUCUAUAACUUCCCAUACCGUAGAAUCGUAAGAACAUCUCCCACACUGAGGACAGCUCAAAGACAAGUUGGGCAUAUGGCAGGACUUGUCUACAUGGUGUCCCUAGAAUGGGGUCUUCAAUAGAAAAAGGACCAUCCAUACUUUUAGUCCCAAUCUUUAGCACCAGUCUGUCACAGGAGCAAUGUAUGGCACUAAGAACCUAGGAUCACAGUGAAAUUGGAUGGAGGUGUUGGUCACUGGGGAAGCAUCACACCUUGCACAAAGGAGGCAUCAUAACAGGUAUGCAAUCAGUCAACUUAAAAGUAAAAGUA